rnacentral:rRNA from 1 species
UGGGGAAUUUUGGACAAUGGGCGCAAGCCUGAUCCAGCCAUGCCGCGUGUGUGAAGAGGGCCUUCGGGUUGUAAAGCACUUUCGGCCGGAACGAAAUCGCGCGGGCUAUUACCCCGCGUGGAUGACGGUACCGGAAGAAGAAGCACCGGCUAACUACGUGCCAGCAGCCGCGGUAAUACGUAGGGUGCGAGCGUUAAUCGGAAUUACUGGGCGUAAAGGGUGCGCAGGCGGCGUCGCAAGUCAGGCGUGAAAUCCCCGGGCUUAACCUGGGAAUUGCACUUGAAACUACGAUGCUGGAGUAUGGCAGAGGGAGGUGGAAUUCCACGUGUAGCGGUGAAAUGCGUAGAGAUGUGGAGGAACACCGAUGGCGAAGGCAGCCUCCUGGGCCAAUACUGACGCUCAUGCACGAAAGCGUGGGGAGCAAACAGG